rnacentral:rRNA from 1 species
AUUGAACGCUGGCGGCAGGCCUAACACAUGCAAGUCGAACGAGAGGAGGACGGGUGAGUAAUGUCUGGGAAACUGCCUGAUGGAGGGGGAGAACUAGGGGAAACGGUAGCUAAUACCGCAUAACAUCGGAUGGGCCCAGGUGGGAUUAGCUAGUAGGGGGGGUAAAGGCUCACCAAGGCGACGAUGCCUAGCUGGGCUGAGAGGAUGACCGGACACACUGGAACUGAGACACGGUCCAAACUCCUACGGGAGGCAGCAGUGGGGAAUAUUGGACAAUGGGCGCAAGCCUGAUGCAGCCAUGCCGCGUGUAUGAAGAAGGCCUUCGGGUUGUAAAGUACUUUCGGCGGGGAGGCGUUACCCGCAGAAGAAGCACCGGCUAACUCCGUGCCAGCAGCCGCGGUAAUUC